CGAAUAAUCUAGUUCGGCCCCGAACCGUGAAGUAGAAUACUGUCCCCUACACUAUUCCAGAGUGGAGUGGCCCUCCGUGUCACCAAUUUCAGCUUGAAGUUCUCAAAGAAGGCGCCAUUGUUGAGAAAUUAGACGGGAAAUGGUAUGUAAUUCGUAUUUGUUCACUUUGCAGCUAUAAGAGAGGAGCUUACUUGUGCUUGCUGCUUGUGUCAA